UGGCUCAGGACGAACGCUGGCGGCGUGCUUAACACAUGCAAGUCGAACGGUGAAGGAAGAGCUUGCUCUUCCGGAUCAGUGGCGAACGGGUGAGUAACACGUGGGCAACCUGCCCCUGACUCUGGGAUAACUCCUCGAAAGAGGUGCUAAUACCGGAUACGACCACUUCGGACAUCCGAUGGUGGUGGAAAGUUUUUCGGUCAGGGAUGGGCCCGCGGCCUAUCAGCUAGUUGGUGGGGUAAUGGCCUACCAAGGCGACGACGGGUAGCCGGCCUGAGAGGGCGACCGGCCACACUGGGACUGAGACACGGCCCAGACUCCUACGGGAGGCAGCAGUGGGGAAUAUUGCGCAAUGGGCGAAAGCCUGACGCAGCGACGCCGCGUGAGGGAUGAAGGCCUUCGGGUUGUAAACCUCUUUCAGCAGGGACGAAGCGAAAGUGACGGUACCUGCAGAAGAAGCACCGGCUAACUACGUG
rnacentral:rRNA from 1 species